rnacentral:rRNA from 1 species
GACGAACGCUGGCGGCGUGCUUAACACAUGCAAGUCGAACGGAAAGGCCCUGCUUUUGUGGGGUGCUCGAGUGGCGAACGGGUGAGUAACACGUGAGUAACCUGCCCUUGACUUUGGGAUAACUUCAGGAAACUGGGGCUAAUACCGGAUAGGAGCUCCUGCUGCAUGGUGGGGGUUGGAAAGUUUCGGCGGUUGGGGAUGGACUCGCGGCUUAUCAGCUUGUUGGUGGGGUAGUGGCUUACCAAGGCUUUGACGGGUAGCCGGCCUGAGAGGGUGACCGGCCACAUUGGGACUGAGAUACGGCCCAGACUCCUACGGGAGGCAGCAGUGGGGAAUAUUGCACAAUGGGCGGGAGCCUGAUGCAACAACGCCGCGUGCGGGAUGACGGCCUUCGGGUUGUAAACCGCUUUCGCCUGUGACGAAGCGUGAGUGACGGUAAUGGGUAAAGAAGCACCGGCUAACUACGUG